GUCGUGAGAUGUUGGGUUAAGUCCCGCAACGAGCGCAACCCCUAUCCUAUGUUGCCAGCGCGUUAUGGCGGGGACUCAUAGGAGACUGCCGGUGCCAAACCGGAGGAAGGUGGGGAUGACGUCAAGUCAUCAUGCCCCUUACGUCCAGGGCUGCACACGUGCUACAAUGGCCGGUACAAAGGGUUGCUACUCCGCGAGGAGACGCCAAUCCCAAAAAGCCGGUCUCAGUUCGGAUCGUAGUCUGCAACUCGACUGCGUGAAGCUGGAGUCGCUAGUAAUCGCAGAUCAGCAUUGCUGCGGUGAAUACGUUCCCGGGCCUUGUACACACCGCCCGUCACACCACGAAAGUUGGUAACGCCCGAAGCCGGUGGCCUAACCCUUUUGGGAGGGAGCCGUCGAAGGUGGGAUCAGCGAUUGGGGUGAAGUCGUAACAAGGUAGCCGUACCGGAAGGUGCGGCUGGAUCACCUCCUUUCUAAGGAGCACUACUGCUCUCUCACUCUUGAAUAUCGCUACGGCGGCAUCCAGGGGCGGGCGAGAGCUCCCACGUCGAUCAUUGGUCAGUCAGCUCGUCGAUCAUUCCGACCCCGCCACCUCCGCAGGUGGCCCCUCCGUCCUCGGACUGAGGCAAUGCCUGCGGCUUCCGUGUCGGCACCACCGGAACCCUCGAGUCGGUGCCGCGUCACUGUUCCGUUGUGAGGGAGUGGACCGCGAUUCGUUCGCGGGCGCUCACCUCGAGGCCUACGCCGUCGAGUUCCUCUGCCGAUCGUCCCCUGGACGCCGGCAUUGAAGGAAUGCGGCAGGCCUCAACGCCCCUUGAGAACUGAAGAGCGAGCACGAGCAUCUAGAAAAUAGUGCAAGAAGUACUCCCAAGCUAUAAAGAGCCAACGGUGGAUGCCUUGGCGCCAGAUGCCGAUGAAGGACGUGGGUGGCUGCGAAAAGCCGCGGGGAGCUGUCUACCGAGCUUUGAUCCGCGGAUGU
rnacentral:sRNA from 1 species